rnacentral:other from 1 species
GAAGUCCUGAUGUGUUUGUCGUAUAACCUAUUGUUUUGACCGAACAAUAGUUUAUACGGGAGCCCGGAGUUUUCGUACGUGCGUAAAUGCCUCAUCUUUCGCUAAAAGAGGACUUACAAAAGUCGAAACAGGGUGCCCACCUGCGGAGAGCGGGUUCAAAACUAAGGCAUCGACGGCACGAUUGGGACUUCU